rnacentral:misc_RNA from 1 species
CGGAUAAGGAUGCGGGCAGGGG